rnacentral:rRNA from 1 species
CGUUGAAGACGACGACGUUGAUAGGCCGGGUGUGUAAGCGCAGCGAUGCGUUGAGCUAACCGGUACUAAUGAACCGUGAGGCUUAACCUUACAACGCCGAAGSUGUU